UCGAUUCGAUUUACCUUCGGGUAAUGAGGAUGGCGGACGGGUGAGUAACGCGUAAGGAACUUGCCUCUUGGUCUGGGACAACUGUUGGAAACGACAGCUAAUACCGGAUAUUAUGAGAUUCUCGCAUGAGAAACUUAUGAAAGCUAUAUGCGCCAAGAGAGAGCCUUGCGUUCCAUUAGCUAGUUGGUGGGGUAACGGCCCACCAAGGCGACGAUGGAUAGCCGGCCUGAGAGGGUGAACGGCCACAAGGGGACUGAGACACGGCCCUUACUCCUACGGGAGGCAGCAGUGGGGAAUAUUGGACAAUGGGCCACAAGCCUGAUCCAGCAAUUCUGUGUGCACGAUGAAGGUCUUCGGAUUGUAAAGUGCUUUCAGUUGGGAAGAAGAAAGUGACGGUACCAACAGAAGAAGCGACGGCUAAAUACGUGCCAGCAGCCGCGGUAAUACGUAUGUCGCAAGCGUUAUCCGGAUUUAUUGGGCGUAAAGCGCGUCUAGGCGGAAAAAUAAGUCUGAUGUUAAAAUGCGGGGCUCAACUCCGUAUUGCGUUGGAAACUGUUUUUCUAGAGUACUGGAGAGGUGGGCGGA
rnacentral:rRNA from 1 species